rnacentral:rRNA from 1 species
GACGAACCGUGCGAACGUUGUUCGGAUUCAUUGGGCUUAAAGGGCGCGUAGGCGGCCGCUCAAGUCGGGGGUGAAAUCUUUCAGCUCAACUGGAAAAUAGCCUCCGAUACUGGUCGGCUGGAGGGAGAUAGGGGUGCGCGGAACUUCCGGUGGAGCGGUGAAAUGCGUAGAUAUCGGAAGGAACGCCGGUGGCGAAAGCGGCGCACUGGAUCUCAUCUGACGCUGAGGCGCGAAAGCCAGGGGAGCAAAGCGGG